GUCCCUUCGGGGACAUUUGUUAAAAUUGGAAUGAUAUAUAGAAGAUUAGCAUGGCCCUUGCACAAGAAUUUCGAAUUUUAUAUAUGAUGCUUUAGCUU
rnacentral:snRNA from 1 species